rnacentral:rRNA from 1 species
AUUGAACGCUGGCGGCAGGCCUAACACAUGCAAGUCGAACGAGGGGCGGAGGGGUGAGUAAUGUGUGGGAAAGCGCGCGAGGGGGGGGGAAAACCACUGGAAACGGUAGCUAAUACCGCAUACUCUGGGAAGUGCCCAGAUGGGAUUAGCGAGUAGGUGGGGUAAAGUCUCACCUAGGCGACGAUCCCGAGCUGGUCUGAGAGGAUGACCAGCCACACUGGAACUGAGACACGGCCCAGACUCCUACGGGAGGCAGCAGUGGGGAAUAUUGCACAAUGGGCGCAAGCCUGAUGCAGCCAUGCCGCGUGUAUGAAGAAGGCCUUCGGGUUGUAAAGUACUUUCAGCGAGGAGGCGUUACUCACAGAAGAAGCACCGGCUAACUCCGUGCCAGCCGCCGCGGUAAUUC